CUUGCCCGUCACUGAUAUUAAGUUGGCCGCGGGUGAAGAGAGCGAGGCAAGUGCGGGGGGGGCAAGUUUGUAAGUUUGUAGGGAAGUUAGUUUUGUGCUAAUCAAGUGAAGCUGCAAAGUGCUUUGAGCAUUGAGAGCUGUGACUGUGGGGCAGUACCACGGCUCGGUACUUCUCCCUUCUCAGGAGGAUUACGGGGAGGCUGGUACUGCCUCACUACAGGGGAGUAACCGUCAUUUUUAACAAUUACGUUUUGGUGUACAUGUGUAUGGAUGUGUGCCGAUGCAGUUUUAGCCGAGUGUCGCAGCAGGACUUUUUUGGGAGCGAGCGAUGGAGAGCGGUUCUUCUUAACACAGAGCGUAGUGCUUAUUUCCUCACUUAGAGUCUGUUUUGCAGAUUGUACAUUUUGUCAGAUGUGAUUGCAUGCUUUGCUGUCUACACAUUGGAGAUAUUGCCCUCUAUUGCCCGGAGUUGUCUCCCAGUAAACAUGACUGUGUCAGGCGCGUUCAACAUCUGUCUGAAGUAGAGUUUGGAAUGGAGUGUACAGUAUGUAUCAUCAAGGGACUCUGCAUCUACCUCCAUGAGGACACAGUACACCUAUUGAGGGA